UACGUAGGGGGCAAGCGUUGUUCGGAAUUACUGGGCGUAAAGGGCGCGUAGGCGGCACAGCAAGUCGGGAGUGAAAGCCCGGGGCUCAACCCCGGAACGGCUUCCGAAACUGCUGAGCUAGAGUGCGGAAGGGGCAACCGGAAUUCCCAGUGUAGCGGUGAAAUGCGUAGAUAUUGGGAAGAACACCCGAGGCGAAGGCGGGUUGCUGGGCCGACACUGACGCUGAGGCGCGAAAGCCAGGGGAGCAAACGGG
rnacentral:rRNA from 1 species